GACGAACCGUCCGAACGUUAUUCGGAAUCACUGGGCUUAAAGGGUGCGUAGGCGGCGCGGAAAGUUGGGUGUGAAAUCCCUCGGCUCACCGAGGAACUGCGCCCAAAACUACCGUGCUCGAGGGAGAUAGAGGUGAGCGGAACUUAGGGUGGAGCGGUGAAAUGCGUUGAUAUCCUAAGGAACACCGGUGGCGAAAGCGGCUCACUGGAUCUCUUCUGACGCUGAGGCACGAAAGCUAGGGUAGCGAACGGG
rnacentral:rRNA from 1 species